GCAUGUCUGUGAUGCUAAUUUCUUUACCUACAUUGUUCGAGGUUCCUCUGAGAAUAUUCUAUAUAACUGAGACAUGU